CUCAGAGCUUAAAAUAUAAUCAAUCUUUAUAUGAUGUAUUUUCUUAGUGUUUAAGAUAUACAUCAAACAGUCCAAAAUUAUAUCACAUGUCAAUUCAGCAUCAUAUUUUUAAUAAAUAAGUGAUCUAUCUGUAUGUGUGCAAUGUUCUUAGUGCAUAUUUUAAGUGCUUGUGUUGCUAUGUAAAUGUUUGUACAGUUUUAGCUUAGAAGAUAGGAAAUGUUAAAGAGAGGGUUUUAU